rnacentral:rRNA from 1 species
UACAGAGGCCACAAGCGUUACUCGGAAUCACUGGGCUUAAAGGGUGCGUAGGCGGGAGUGAAAGUGUUUUGUGAAAUCCCACGGCUCAACCGUGGAACAGCAGGGCAAACUACACUUCUUGAGGCAUGUAGGGGCGGGCAGAACAGUAGGUGGAGCGGUGAAAUGCGUAGAUAUCUACUGGAAUGCCGAUGGUGAAGACGGCCCGCUGGGCAUGUCCUGACGCUGAGGCACGAAAGCGUGGGGAGCAAACAGG